rfam:Myotis davidii contig162485, whole genome shotgun sequence.
GGCAGUUCUCAGAUGGUGCACCCUGGGGUUGGGCUCCCUCCUCUCUGGUUCCUGGUGCAUCACCCGAGAACUGCA